rnacentral:lncRNA from 14 species
CUUGUUUCUUUGGUAUAACUCAAGAAGCCCAGCAACUGUAAGGCUUAUUCAAAUCUCUGCUGCUGAAUCCGUGCUUUUUUGAUACUGACUCAACUCAAAACUUUGUAAACAUUGAAAAGUUUGUAAACUGAGAAAAAUCCCUUUCUCUAGAUUUUAAAUACAUUUUUCCAUGCUGAUCGUGCACUAAAACCAGUUCAUCUUCACACUGGAAAAGGACCUGAUUCUAAGAUCUUGUGCUGUGCAGGAAGAAUACGUCUCCCUGGACAGGUGCAGACAGCCCUGAACUUGCUUUGCUCACGCUCUGCACUCUUUGGAUGGGUGCCCUGUUACACAGCACAGCUCCUGAGCCUUCCCAUGCUCACUCGUAAUAGGAAUAUAACUUGGAAAUGUUUCACACUGGUCUUGGGAGAACAAGAACAGGAUGCCUUGCUCCUUGUACCAGAUUCAUUUCCAGGCAACCUCUUCAUCUGGCUGUUUGUCCUGCUGGCUCCCUGGCUGAAGAUCAUUAGAGACAGUCCUAAAGGCUUAGAUAACUAUCAUCCAAAUCACGGAUUCUGAUUCAUGAGUCAGGAUGAUGGCAGCCCUCCAAAAACUUACUUGCCCAUGGAGAGUGUGUUUGUGUGAGAGACAGUUUCACUGUAUGAAGAGUAAGAAACUGGAAGCCAAGUGAAUUAAAUACAAA